rnacentral:rRNA from 1 species
GACGAACGCUGGCGGCGUGCUUAACACAUGCAAGUCGAACGGAAAGGCCCUGCUUUUGUGGGGUGCUCGAGUGGCGAACGGGUGAGUAACACGUGAGUAACCUGCCCUUGACUUUGGGAUAACUUCAGGAAACUGGGGCUAAUACCGGUUAGGAGCUCCUGCUGCAUGUUGGGGGUUGGAAAGUUUCGGCGGUUGGGGAUGGACUCGCGGCUUAUCAGCUUGUUGGUGGGGUAGUGGCUUACCAAGGCUUUGACGGGUAGCCGGCCUGAGAGGGUGACCGGCCACAUUGGGACUGAGAUACGGCCCAGACUCCUACGGGAGGCAGCAGUGGGGAAUAUUGCACAAUGGGCGGAAGCCUGAUGCAGCAACGCCGCGUGCGGGAUGACGGCCUUCGGGUUGUAAACCGCUUUCGCCUGUGACGAGGCGUGAGUGACGGUAAUGGGUAAAGAAGCACCGGCUAACUACGUG